AAAAAAAGUACUCAUGUAAGCAUGCUAUGAGAUUAUUUAUAUUUCUCUCUUGUACGUUUACAAGGCCAAACGGCCAAACUCAUUUACAUAGCUUUCCCUGAGUAAGAAAAUGCAAAAGAAAAGGAUUGAAGAACCAACAAAAUCUAUGGUCGGCAGUUGCAAAUCCUCGAGUACCACAUCUGCCCCUGUCGAUCCAUCAGACCAUCCCUUGCUGCAAACUCCUCUCCGCCGGCAAUUCCAGGAACUCCGACGGUUGUGGGUGCACCAGAAGAGGGUGGAUCUGCGAUGGUUGUAAUGAACAGGCCUGG
rnacentral:lncRNA from 1 species